rfam:Oryctolagus cuniculus chromosome 12, whole genome shotgun sequence.
CCAAAGGCCCUUUUCAGGGCCACCCAAAUUUUCCUGUAAAAGAGCU